rnacentral:tRNA from 1 species
CAGGAAGUAGUUUAUAAAAAAAUAUUAAUUUUGGAGAUUAACGAUGAAGUGAAUAUCCUCCCUGA